rnacentral:rRNA from 1 species
UACAGAGGUCUCGAGCGUUGUUCGGAUUCAUUGGGCGUAAAGGGUGCGUAGGUGGCUAGGUAAGUCGGAUGUGAAAUCCCGGGGCUCAACCCCGGAACUGCAUUCGAUACUGCCUGGCUAGAGUACUGGAGAGGAGAUUGGAAUUUACGGUGUAGCAGUGAAAUGCGUAGAUAUCGUAAGGAAGACCAGUGGCGAAGGCGGAUCUCUGGACAGUUACUGACACUGAGGCACGAAGGCCAGGGGAGCAAACGGGG